UUUUAAUGAAAAAAAUUAAAUUGUGGUUUAAAUCAAAUCCCCCCCCCCAUCUUCACUCAUCUCGUUCAGCCUAGAUGUGGUUGUGUCACUGAAUUUCUUAGACCUGUCCUAAAUAUCCUGAUCCCCUCCCCCAGUCAUCCUCUGGGUGUUGUUACUUUGUCAUAAGGUGGACAAACUGGCCUGUGGGUCACAUCCAGCUUCUCAGGGCCCCCUACCUCUGAUAACUGCCCCCAUGGAUGACAAGAGCAUGUGUGGUUUUGAUUUUAAAAUGUUCUUGCAUAUUUGAGCAUUUCUGGGCCUGGCACAACCUGCCGUAGGUUCGGUGGUGGUGGUGGUGGUGUGUGUGUGUGUAUGAUUGAUCUCAGGUGGCUCCAGGAAAGUGGUCCACUCUUAAAGGUUGGUGCCUUUAGAAGCUUAUUACAAUCUUCCCUGUCAAAAACUCCCUUUCCUCACUUUUAAAAUGUGGAGUGGUUCUAAAGUAACCGAUGUUUGUGGGAACAGCUCCCAGAGAUUGGGAAAAAAGGCUUAUUUUUCUUGUCUGCUUC